rnacentral:rRNA from 1 species
CGCGUAGGCGGUUAAUUUAGUUUGUUGUGAAAGUCUUGGGCUUAACCUGAGGAUUGCAAUGAAUACUGGUUGACUGGAGUCUGGAAGGGGAGAAUGGAAUUGCGUGUGGAGAGGUAAAAUUCGUAGAUAUACGCAGGAACACCGGCGGUGAAGACGAUUCUCUGGGACAAGACUGACGCUGAGGCGCGAAAGCGUGGGGAGCAAACA